rnacentral:rRNA from 1 species
UACGAAGGGGGCUAGCGUUGCUCGGAAUCACUGGGCGUAAAGCGCACGUAGGCGGCUUUUUAAGUCAGGGGUGAAAUCCUGGAGCUCAACUCCAGAACUGCCUUUGAUACUGAGAAGCUUGAGUCCGGGAGAGGUGAGUGGAACUGCGAGUGUAGAGGUGAAAUUCGUAGAUAUUCGCAAGAACACCAGCGGCGAAGGCGGCUCACUGGCCCGGUACUGACGCUGAGAUGCGAAAGCGUGGGGAGCAAACAGG